UACAGAGGUCUCAACCGUUGUUCGGAUUCAUUGGGCGUAAAGGGUGCGUAGGCGGUCGUGCAAGUCGGAUGUGAAAUCUCAGGGCUCAACCCUGAAACUGCAUUCGAUACUGCGUGGCUAGAGUGCUGGAGAGGAGACUGGAAUUUACGGUGUAGCAGUGAAAUGCGUAGAUAUCGUAAGGAAGACCAGAGGCGAAGGCGAGUCUCUGGACAGCAACUGACGCUGAGGCACGAAGGCCAGGGGAGCAAACGGG
rnacentral:rRNA from 1 species